ACUUUCACCUUUGCCGAGCUAUUCAUUUUCUAUUUGAUAGUAAUCUUUCUUCUGUUCUGCCUUUCUUCCCUUGGUGAUGGAUGCAGACACCAACCAACCGCUUACCUGCCAAUAGUAAUAAUUCUUUAAAGUCUAGUCUUGGACGACCUCGAAACUAUUGAGCAAGGGACCCUUUCUCUAGCUCCUCCUCCAGAAGCCCACGGAGCGGUGAAGGGAACAAGAUUUCUCUCUCCGAAGAAAAGCGUUCCUUCAUUCAUCCCUGCAGGCGAACUGAUCCAGUUGAAACAUAAACUACAUUUCUACCCUGUAGCCCGUACCUUUCCUACGUCGUGAAGCCAAGGAGUGAUCCGUUUUGGAGGACGAUUAUGACUCGCCUGGAAGACAGUUUCCAGUAACAAAGCUUCAGAUGUGAAACUUGCAAGAGACAAAGGGGUAGAGGAUACCCCAGAAAUUUCAGGGUCUUUCCUAGCAAAUUUAACUGCUGUUCUGCUUAUUUUAACAAUCUUUUACAAUGUCUUAUUUUACGCGGUGAUAAAGCCAUCCAUAGACGGACCUGAUGAUCAGUCAGGUCCUCAACCUAGCCAGCCAAAGUGAGUCAAGAGGUGCAGCAGUUGCAACCAUUGAUAUACCACAAGUUUGCUUUCAGUGCGGAUUCAAUUGAUGUUGGUUAGAGCUUAAUAUUAAGAGCAAAUUUUUGUUCAUGUAGUUGAAACUCAAAGUAUAUUUUGGCCAAUGUAUCCGGAAAGCAAAAUGCAAAGAAAGAAAUAUGUGAAACUUGAAGCG